rfam:Izhakiella sp. D4N98 NODE_8_length_200759_cov_108.406_ID_2762, whole genome shotgun sequence.
CCCAGAGGUAUUGAUAGGUGAACAUCAACACGUGUUACACCAACCUGCGCAGAUGCGCAGGUUUUUUUU